UCGGUCGCUGCCGCCAUUGGCGGGAGAGGAAAGUCCGGGCUUCACAGGGCAGGAUGCCGGCUAACGGCCGGCCGGGGUGACCUGAGGGAAAGUGCAACAGAAAGUAUACCGCACCGCUUGCGGUGUAAGGGUGAAAUGGCAGGGUAAGAGCCUACCGCGUCGCCGGUAACGGAGACGGCAGUGUAAACCCCAUCCGAAGCAAGACCGAAACGAAGCGCUAUGAGGCGGCCCGCCCAGCUUCAGGUAGGUUGCUUGAGGCGUCCGGCAACGGGCGUCCUAGACAGAUGACCGAACAAGACAGAACCCGGCUUACAGCCGUUCUUU
rnacentral:RNase_P_RNA from 1 species